UACGAAGGGGGCUAGCGUUGUUCGGAAUUACUGGGCGUAAAGGGUGCGUAGGUGGUUAGACAAGUCAGAAGUGAAAGCCCUGGGCUCAACCCGGGAAUUGCUUUUGAAACUGUUUAGCUAGAGUUCGAGAGAGGUAAGAGGAAUAUCCAGUGUAGAGGUAAAAUUCGUAGAUAUUGGAUGGAACACCAGUGGCGAAGGCGGCUUACUGGCUCGAUACUGACACUGAGGCACGAAAGCGUGGGGAGCAAACAGG
rnacentral:rRNA from 1 species